GAUCUAUCGAGUUGAGGUAUGAAUUUAAGUUUCGAUGACGAAACUCUUUUAAGGAGGGGAGAAUGUAAUGUACCAGAUUUUAAUAUAAAAAUUAAGUGUAAAUAAAAAUAGUGGAAGAUACUAUUUUUAUUGGACUUAAAGAAGUAAAAUAUAAGUCGGAAAUGACUUGUGCUGAAAUCAGAAUAGAAACAGAAGAUUUAGAAUUUUCUGUAUAGAACGGGGCUGAUAUUUUAGCAGAAAAUGCACAGUGUCAGAAAAUUAUGAAAACUAGAGAGUAUGUCAGAAUUAUUUUUAUGAGGGUAGAUUUAAAGUUUCAUAUCAUUCCGACACCCGAAAAGUAAAAAAUAAAAUCCGACUGCUAUCUGCUAGAGAUUACAGUUCGGUAGAGUUUUCGAUGACCAAAAAUGGUUGAAACUAAGAAGUUAAGAUAUUGUUCACUUUAUUAGCCAAAACCGAGCCUGGCUGUCAAAUUUGAGCGCAAACGGACAUUCAGAAGGGCUCCGGCCAAAAAGAACAGAUUCUGAGCUGCUAAACUGAAAGUUGUGUGUUGUUG
rnacentral:lncRNA from 1 species